GGAUUUAAGAUGCUGAGUCCUUAAGUCUAUGACCAUAGCAUUGUGGUUGAUGAAAAAAAAUUUUCAUAGAAUCACAUAUGGACUCGAGCUGAUUGAAUCUAUUAUAUGACCGAUGUUGAGGUUUGACGAUUCAUCUAUGAUUUGUCAUCUGGUUAGGACUCACGAUAAAGGGACUGUAUCAUACGCUAACUGCACCUAGAGGUUUAUCUUUUAUUCUGCUGGGUUGUCACUACAUACUGCUAGGUGUCAUUGAUGGAUUAUGAGACUCAUGAGG
rnacentral:lncRNA from 1 species